GUGGGAGGGGGCUUGCUCCCGAUAGCGGUGUAUCAGUCAGCCCAUGUAUUGCCUGACCCACUGCAAUCGGGAGCAAGCCCCCUCCCAC
rnacentral:misc_RNA from 1 species